rnacentral:rRNA from 1 species
UACAGAGGGGGCAAGCGUUGUUCGGAAUUAUUGGGCGUAAAGGGUGCGUAGGCGGUGCGGUAAGUCUUCUGUGAAAUCUCCGGGCUUAACUCGGAGCCUGCAGGAGAAACUGCCGUGCUUGAGUAUGGGAGAGGUGAGUGGAAUUCCUGGUGUAGCGGUGGAAUGCGUAGAGAUCCGGAGGAACACCAGCGGCGAAGGCGGCAUCCUGGACUGGUCCUGACACUCAUGAGCGAAAGCGUGGGGAGCGAUCCGG